rnacentral:tRNA from 1 species
UCCCUGGUGGCUCAGACAGUAAAGAAUCUGCCUGCAAUGCAGAAGACUUAGGUUCAAUCCCUGGAUAGGGAA